CAGUGGCCACGGGAAUACAGAGGGUGCGAGCGUUAAUCGGAUUUACUGGGCGUAAAGCGUGCGUAGGCGGCUUUUUAAGUCGUAUGUGAAAUCCCUGAGCUUAACUUAGGAAUUGCAUUCGAUACUGGGAAGCUAGAGUAUGGGAGAGGAUGGUAGAAUUCCAGGUGUAGCGGUGAAAUGCGUAGAGAUCUGGAGGAAUACCGAUGGCGAAGGCAGCCAUCUGGCCUAAUACUGACGCUGAGGUACGAAAGCAUGGGGAGCAAACAGGAUUAGAUACCCCUGUAGUCCCUGUCUCUUAUAU
rnacentral:rRNA from 1 species